rnacentral:rRNA from 1 species
CCUACGGGAGGCAGCAGUGGGGAAUUUUGGACAAUGGGCGCAAGCCUGAUCCAGCAAUGCCGCGUGCAGGAUGAAGGCCUUCGGGUUGUAAACUGCUUUUGUACGGAACGAAAAGGUUGUCUCUAAUAAAGACGGCUCAUGACGGUACCGUAAGAAUAAGCACCGGCUAACUACGUGCCAGCAGCCGCGGUAAUACGUAGGGUGCGAGCGUUAAUCGGAAUUACUGGGCGUAAAGCGUGCGCAGGCGGUGAUGUAAGACAGAUGUGAAAUCCCCGGGCUCAACCUGGGACCUGCAUUUGUGACUGCAUCGCUAGAGUACGGUAGAGGGGGAUGGAAUUCCGCGUGUAGCAGUGAAAUGCGUAGAUAUGCGGAGGAACACCGAUGGCGAAGGCAAUCCCCUGGACCUGUACUGACGCUCAUGCACGAAAGCGUGGGGAGCAAACAGGAUUAGAUACCCUGGUAGUCCACGCCCUAAACGAUAUCACUGUUGUUGGUAGUUACUACUUCUUCAGUAACGAAGACUACGACGUGAGUUAGUACCGCCGUCGGGAGGUACGGCCGGCGAGGUUAGUAAACGUUAAAGGUAAAGUUAGUACGGCGUAGAGACGUAGACCGACGGACGACGACGAGGGGAGGAGGG